ACCAUGCAAGUCGAACGAUGAACCGGUGCUUGCACUGGGGAUUAGUGGCGAACGGGUGAGUAACACGUGAGUAACCUGCCCUUAACUCUGGGAUAAGCCUUGGAAACGAGGUCUAAUACUGGAUAUUGACUUUUCCUCGCAUGGGGAUUGGUUGAAAGAUUUAUUGGUUUUGGAUGGACUCGCGGCCUAUCAGCUUGUUGGUGAGGUAAUGGCUCACCAAGGCGACGACGGGUAGCCGGCCUGAGAGGGUGACCGGCCACACUGGGACUGAGACACGGCCCAGACUCCUACGGGAGGCAGCAGUGGGGAAUAUUGCACAAUGGGCGAAAGCCUGAUGCAGCGACGCCGCGUGAGGGAUGACGGCCUUCGGGUUGUAAACCUCUUUCAGUAGGGAACAAGGCCAGACGUUGUCUGGUUGAGGGUACUUGCAGAAGAAGCGCCGGCUAACUACGUGCCAGCAGCCGCGGUAAUACGUAGGGCGCAAGCGUUAUCCGGAAUUAUUGGGCGUAAAGAGCUCGUAGGCGGUUUGUCGCGUCUGCCGUGAAAGUCCGGGGCUCAACUCCGGAUCUGCGGUGGGUACGGGCAGACUAGAGUGAUGUAGGGGAGACUGGAAUUCCUGGUGUAGCGGUGAAAUGCGCAGAUAUCAGGAGGAACACCGAUGGCGAAGGCAGGUCUCUGGGCAUUAACUGACGCUGAGGAGCGAAAGCAUGGGGAGCGAACAGGAUUAGAUACCCUGGUAGUCCAUGCCGUAAACGUUGGGCACUAGGUGUGGGGGACAUUCCACGUUUUCCGCGCCGUAGCUAACGCAUUAAGUGCCCCGCCUGGGGAGUACGGCCGCAAGGCUAAAACUCAAAGGAAUUGACGGGGGCCCGCACAAGCGGCGGAGCAUGCGGAUUAAUUCGAUGCAACGCGAAGAACCUUACCAAGGCUUGACAUGAACUGGAAACGCUUGGAAACAAGUGCCCCGCUUGCGGUCGGUUACAGGUGGUGCAUGGUUGUCGU
rnacentral:rRNA from 1 species